rnacentral:rRNA from 1 species
AUUGAACGCUGGCGGCAGGCCUAACACAUGCAAGUCGAGCGGAUGAGGGGAGCUUGCUCCUGGAUUCAGCGGCGGACGGGUGAGUAAUGCCUAGGAAUCUGCCUGGUAGUGGGGGAUAACGUCCGGAAACGGGCGCUAAUACCGCAUACGUCCUGAGGGAGAAAGUGGGGGAUCUUCGGACCUCACGCUAUCAGAUGAGCCUAGGUCGGAUUAGCUAGUUGGUGGGGUAAAGGCCUACCAAGGCGACGAUCCGUAACUGGUCUGAGAGGAUGAUCAGUCACACUGGAACUGAGACACGGUCCAGACUCCUACGGGAGGCAGCAGUGGGGAAUAUUGGGCAAUGGGCGAAAGCCUGAUCCAGCCAUGCCGCGUGUGUGAAGAAGGUCUUCGGAUUGUAAAGCACUUUAAGUUGGGAGGAAGGGCAGUAAGUUAAUACCUUGCUGUUUUGACGUUACCAACAGAAUAAGCACCGGCUAACUUCGUG